UAGCUGCGAUACGUGGUGUGAAUUGCAGGACACAUUGAGCACUAAAGAUCUGAAUGCACAUUGCGGCCUCGGGCCAACCCGGGGCCGUGUCCGUCCGAGGGUCGGUAAAUUUACUCCGAGGAGGAAUUUUUUUAUCUGACGCGCCGGCGACGCGGCGCGUCGGGGUUCCUUACGAUUGGCGGGGUCCCUCGCGAGCGCGGCGCUCUAAGAUGAGCGCCCGGAAGCGGGGGAGCCGCUUAAAGUCGCGGUUGAGUCACGGAGCUCGACUCGAUCCCCGCCGCCGAUCUCGUGGAUCGGGCGGACGAAGGGAACGGUCGUCGUGGCGGUCGCCGCGCGCGCCGGGAUAGGCGCGCGUAAGUUUUUAUUGUCGACCUCGGAUCGGGCAAGAUCACCCGCUGAAUUUAA
rnacentral:rRNA from 1 species